rnacentral:rRNA from 1 species
CUACGGGGGGCAGCAGUGGGGAAUAUUGCACAAUGGACGAAAGUCUGAUGCAGCAACGCCGCGUGGAGGAUGACACUUUUCGGAGCGUAAACUCCUUUUAUAUAGGAAGAAGAUGACGGUACUAUAUGAAUAAGCGCCGGCUAACUCCGUGCCAGCAGCCGCGGUAAUACGGAGGGCGCAAGCGUUACUCGGAAUCACUGGGCGUAAAGAGCGUGUAGGCGGAUUAAAAAGUCAGAAGUGAAAUCCUAUAGCUUAACUAUAGAACUGCUUCUGAAACUCUUAAUCUAGAAUAUGGGAGAGGUAGAUGGAAUUUCUGGUGUAGGGGUAAAAUCCGUAGAGAUCAGAAGGAAUACCGAUUGCGAAGGCGAUCUACUAGAACAUUAUUGACGCUGAGACGCGAAAGCGUGGGGAGCAAACAGGAUUAGAUACCCGAGUAGUC